rnacentral:misc_RNA from 1 species
GAUGAAAGAACGCAGCGAAAUGCGAUAAGUAAUGUGAAUUGCAGAAUUCAGUGAAUCAUCGAAUCUUUGAACGCACAUUGCGCCCGCCAGCAUUCUGGCGGGCAUGCCUGUUCGAGCGUCAUUUCAACCCUCGAGCCCCCCCGGGGGCCUCGGUGUUGGGGGACGGCACACCAGCCGCCCCCGAAAUGCAGUGGCGACCCCGCCGCAGCCUCCCCUGCGUAGUAGCACACACCUCGCACCGGAGCGCGGAGGCGGUCACGCCGUAAAACGCCCAACUUUCUUAGAGUUGACCUCGGAUCAGGUAGGAAUACCCGCUGAACUUAAGCAUAUCAAUAAGCGGAGGA